UUCUCUAUUUGGAAGAUUACGUGUCUCAUACAUUACGGAUAACAUUGUGUGGCACUCUGAAGCAAUGGAAAUUUUAAAGAUCUUAUGGAGCUUUACCAAUGUUCCGGCUCUACAAUAUUCUAUCAAUUUAGAUUUUGGAGUUUAAAUUUAUGUGUAAAAGAUGCCUAAAGAACCUGCCCCGUAUCGUUGUAAUAUAUGAAACGUUAAUGUAUCUAGUUAUGAUGAUUUUUUACAAGAACGUCUGAAUAUUAGUGGGAAAAUAUGUAAAUAUACAACCUUUGCAGACAAAAUGGGACAUCUGAAAAUUAUUGGAUGAUUUAUCAAUACGAAAAAAACUGAUUAUACAAUGUUCCGGCUCUACAAUAUUCUAUCAAUUUAGACUUUUUACUUACAGAUUUUGGAGUUUAAAUUUAUGUGUAAAAGAUGCCUAAAGAACCUGCACCGUACCGUUGUAAUAUAUGAAGCGUUAAUGUAUCUAAUUAUGAAAAUAUUUUCAAGAACGUCUGAAUAUUAGUGGGAAAAUAUGUAAAUAUACAACCUUUGCAGACAAAAUGAUUAAAGUCGUUGGUAUUGCAUGAUUAACCAAUCGUCAAGAUCUAACAAGGUUUGCUGAUUUCCAUACCUGCAUAUGACGCAGUGUACGUCAUAGAGAGACUGGAUAAAAUAGUCCAAUUCUGAGUAAUCGGAGGCGUCAAAGUCUGAUGGCAAGAUUUGUGAUGACUGAAUAUGAGAUGAGCACGGAGUAGUUACAAAAAGUGGAAAACCUUCAACAUAUACAUAUUAUAAAGCUUUAUUUGAACUUUGAAGGAUGAAAUCGCAGCAAAAUACCUCGAAAGUCAAAUACAUUAAAAGAAUAUGUACGGCAACUAAGGAACUUUGCAGCUCAUUAGCCCUAUGCGAGAGAAAGCUAUAUUUCAUGUCUAUUCGAUCAUAAGAAAUAUCUUUGUAAUUAAUGUAUGAUUUCAACAUUGUUUACUAGCAGGGAAUAGACCUGAAAAAACCGUUGACCGAUGAAUAAAAUUUUGAUUUUUUUAAUAA